AUUGAACGCUGGCGGCAUGCCUUACACAUGCAAGUCGAACGGUAACAGGUCUUCGGAUGCUGACGAGUGGCGAACGGGUGAGUAAUACAUCGGAACGUGCCUAGUAGUGGGGGAUAACUACUCGAAAGAGUGGCUAAUACCGCAUGAGAUCUACGGAUGAAAGCGGGGGAUCGCAAGACCUUGUGCUACUAGAGCGGCCGAUGGCUGAUUAGGUAGUUGGUGGGAUAAAAGCUUACCAAGCCGAUGAUCUGUAGCUGGUCUGAGAGGACGAUCAGCCACACUGGGACUGAGACACGGCCCAGACUCCUACGGGAGGCAGCAGUGGGGAAUUUUGGACAAUGGGCGAAAGCCUGAUCCAGCAAUGCCGCGUGCAGGAUGAAGGCCUUCGGGUUGUAAACUGCUUUUGUACGGAACGAAAAGCCCCGGGUUAAUACCCUGGGGUCAUGACGGUACCGUAAGAAUAAGCACCGGCUAACUACGUGCCAGCCGCCGCCGUAA
rnacentral:rRNA from 1 species